AGAUAGUGUAGCUAACUCUACGCCUUCAGCGGAUCAUUAAGAGGCCAUUUGCCUUUUUGGGAAAGAGAAGUCAUAUUGCGAUUAUUGUUUUGCUUUAAAUGCUGGUCCAAAGGAGAAUCAAGUUACCCAAGAAUGUAAGAGAAAGAAUUUAUGAAGAAAGUGAUUCUAUGCCACAUACCGUAGUGCAUGUGUGACAACACACACGCUUGGGAGAGGCUCUCUGUGCCAUGCACCUUGACUCAUUGUGCAUUCACCCAUGACAUAUGGUCAGAUUUUUACUGUAUUAAGUUGCAAAACUGAAGCAAAAGAGAGGAGAAAAACGAAGGGAAUUGAGAGAGACGAAAGAGCUAAGCUUGGGCUUGAAGAAACUGACUUAUAAGAGUAAUUUAAAACUCAUAAACACUAAAGGAAAUAGCUCAAGAAGUGUGGACAGAGGAUAACAUCCAAAGGCUUAGGACUGCGAUCCUAUUAUAGUAGGCCUCUUUAUUUUGAGUAUUUAUAUGUGUAUGUGUAUGUCAAUUUCAAUUGUCAAUUAGUAAUUCUCAUUUAAUCCUUACUUGCAUUAUGUAAAUUGUAAAUUGUAAGUGUAUUUUAGGCCCUAGGGAGUGAGUUGAUGAUAUAUGUUAUUUGUGAUAGGGCCAACAUACUAAUGCAAGUAAGAGCAGAGCAUAUUAUGAGAUAAUUAUAAAGUGACUUGAUGAAAAUUGUGGUAAACUCUCCCUUGUAUGCUUUUGAGAUUAAGGGAUUGAGUAGUGAAAUUUGAUCUGUGAGUAUUUCA